GCAGCUGGUAACUCAGUGGUAGAGUGCAUGCUUGGUGUGUAUGACGUCCUGGGUUCAACUCCCGGGUCUGUG